GCACCACCAUGGAGAGGAAGGAGAAGACCACGCACACGCAGCCGGCGUCCCCCGCCCCCUACGCGGGGUAGUGGCAGGAAACCGGUUCCUGAGUUCUCCUUCUUUCUCUUUCUCGGCACGACCUCCCCACCAGUGUGGUUCUGUUUAUCCUCCUCGCCCGGGGGCUGGGUCCCUGGCGAAGACUCCUUUUCACCCACCCACCCCCAAACCAGAGCUCACCAGUGAUGUAAUGCGGGACCCGCGCGGGGAGGGGAAACGGCAGCCUCAACCGCCUGGCAGCGGCGGUUCCUUCUCUUCGUGAAAAUCGUGAUCUCAUCUCUCCGUCCAAGGGCGAAAAAACAGCCAUCACCAGAAAUAUUGCUGAGAGUUAAAGGAGGACGAAGACACAGAUUCAUAGCUGGGUCUUGCUGUUUUCCUGACGCUGACCACAGCGGAUCUAGAAGACAGCAAAAUGCCCCCAGGGAAUGUUUGUGAAAAAGGAUGACUGGAUGGGAAGCAAGCUGAAGAAAAAGAAGGAAAGAGAGAAAUCAGUAAAUCACCGCACAAGAGGUGGAGAAGAGGACUUAUCAAUAUUGUUUCUAUGACAUUUCAAAAUAAAUGUGUUACUCUAUGCUAAUAGUGAAUGUGAUAUCUUCAGUUUGAAGGGUUUUAAGUGAAGCUCAUUAAAACCCACUAUUUUCCA